AGCUAUAGUUUUACUGAAUUGUCUUUUUUUAUUUGUUUAUGAAAUUUAGGUGCUUAUUAAUUGGCUGUCGGCUGUGUGGAUAUAUAUUGGGAAAGCGAGGGGGGUGGUGGAGGUGGUCAAAGUGGGUGGAGGCUACAAUGAGAUUGUUAAGGUCAAGCUCAAGUUCAUCAAAGGAGCAGUGCAAUGGAGAGAAAACUCGGGCUUUGUUGUAUCUUAAUGUAUAUGAUCUCACACCUGUAAACAACUAUCUCUAUUGGUUCGGCCUCGGAGUGUUUCAUUCUGGUAUAGAAGGUACUAAAGCUUUCUGAUUCUCCUUUUACUGUGUAUUGUUAUAAAUAUUGCUGUUACAUCUAAUUUUGGGAUGAAAGUAAAGCAGAGUCUAGGGUGUGUAUAGUUUGAUCUAAAUCGGUAAAGGUAGUUACUUUGACAUGGUAUGUAAUUCUAUGUUUUAAUUUGGCACCACACAGGAAGAGAUCUUUCUCAAUGAAUGAUAGGAGAUUAUAAUGUUGCAAUUCUCCAUGGGGUUAUCGCCCUAACUUGAAAUGGUAAAACAAUGAGAAGUAAUUCAAGGUUUAGAGGGUGGCAUCAGUUGUUAGAAGUAGUUAUGCCGGUAUCCAGAGAUAUAGUGGCAUUGGAAUGUUUGUCGGACACACUAGCAUUGCAGGACAUCAACAGGAAGACGAAAAAUUGGCCAGACACACAUUGGCCAGCUCUACCUACUGAUAGUGGAAGCUAUUUGAAUCUCUACCAAGAUUGUAGAGACUCUGAUACCAUGUGUAAAUGGAAAAGAGCUCUCGUUGACUUGACUAAAUAACAAUCUAGACGCGUAUUGAUCUAGAUACAUAUUCACUUGAUAUUCUAACACUUUUCUCUGUCAUAAUUAGUUGUAGUUUCAAGCCUCUUCAAUUCUUACCUCCUGCUAUAUUUCCUCAUUUCGGAUCCUUGUGAUAAAUAUAAUUUCCUUCUCAACAUUUUUUUUAAGUUUUCCAUUCCUUUUGAAAUAUUGUUGAGAGAUCCCUUGUCACCUCAAACCCCUCAUAUGACACAUCCAAAACUCUAUCAAAGGCAAUAUCUUUUUCGCCGCCGUAUUGAAUCUUUCACUGAAUCUUCCACCUUUUCUUCAGGUCUAUUAUCGUCUGGUACAAAAGGUUCAAUUGCCAUUAUGGGGAGUUGGUGAAGAAGGUGUCAGCUUAAAUGUAGUUGACUUUCAGAACCUACUGGUCUUGUAGCCUAUUGAGUAAAUGUGCUUACUGGCAUGGAUAAUGAACUGGCUCAUAGAUGGUUAAGAUAAAUUAUUUCUUAAAAAGAAGUUGACAUGGUAAUACACUACUAGUUGAUAAAUUUAGAGAUAUGUCUGCAACUACUGUUGACCUAGCUGGUGGAAAAGAGGGCAGAUGGUUUGCAUUCAAUAGUCAUAUCUUAGAAACUGAAAUUACUUAUUAACUUUUCUUGGUUACUUCUGGAUAUAUAUUGGACAAUAGAAUGAUAACCACCGUGAAGCUUGUCAUGUGAAGCAUAAUCAGAGCCCAACAUGUCUUAUGCUUGCUUAUUCAUACAUUAUAAAAAAAAAUUGCUUCUUUACCUGUAGUAUCAAGAAAUCACAAAGACAAGAUGCUUUGUCAAAUCAUUUCAAAUUCCUGUCACCUUCGUGUACGUUUAGUCUUGAGAGAAUCAUGUAUGCGUUAAACCAGAAUAAAAUUAGAAAAAUGAUAACCCAAAGAAUGCCAGGGGAGGGGAAAAAGUGAAACAGUGGAAUUAUGGCCUUUGUCUGGAUAAAUUACAUCAAGCUCUCUCCCCAAUAUCUACCCACCCUUGUAGGAGAUUAGACAAUUCCAUUUAUAGCAAAUUGGUUAUUUAAUAAGACUAUUAGUUUGCUGCUAACAUUGCAAUUUAACUCAUGCUUUAUAUGCAAAACAAAUGACUCCUUAGGUUUUUGAAUUCUUCUGAUCAAGCCCCCCACAUGUGAUGUUAUGUUGUUUGGAGAAUUGGUGCUUGUGGUGAGAUCGAGAACCUUGGCAUGUAAACUAUCCAUGAUGUUUUCUCUUUCUCAAAGCUGUCUGGUCUGCUCUAGUUAUGAAGAACCAAAGCAGGAUGUAUGAAUAAGGGCCCUUAGCUUUAUUCUUCUAGUUUAAUUGUUAUGGUUUUAUGAAUAGUUUUUUUGGUUGCCUUC
rnacentral:lncRNA from 1 species